rnacentral:rRNA from 1 species
CCUACGGGAGGCAGCAGUAGGGAAUAUUGCUCAAUGGGGGAAACCCUGAAGCAGCAACGCCGCGUGGAGGAUGAAGGUUUUCGGAUUGUAAACUCCUUUUGUUAGAGAAGAUAAUGACGGUAUCUAACGAAUAAGCACCGGCUAACUCCGUGCCAGCAGCCGCGGUAAUACGGAGGGUGCAAGCGUUACUCGGAAUCACUGGGCGUAAAGGGCGCGUAGGCGGGAUAGCAAGUCAGAUGUGAAAUCCUAUGGCUUAACCAUAGAAUUGCAUUUGAAACUGGUGUUCUAGAGUAUGGGGGAGGAAGGUGGAAUUCUUGGUGUAGGGGUGAAAUGCGUAGAGAUGAAGAGGAAUACUCAUUGCGAAGGCGACCUGCUGGAGCAGAACUGACGCUGAUGCUCGAAAGCGUGGGGAGCGAACAGGAUUAGAUACCCGGGUAGUC